rnacentral:rRNA from 1 species
GAGAGAUGACAGAGAUGUUGGGAUGUAUGGACGUCUAUAAUCUAGUAUGAGAAUUAACGAUUUAAGUCCUUCUUAAAUGAGGCCAUUUACCCAUAGAGGGUGCCAGGCCCGUAUAACGUUAAUGAUUACUAGAAGAUGUUUCCAAAGAGUCGUGUUGCUUGAUAGUGCAGCACUAAGUGGGUGGUAAACUCCAUCUAAAACUAAAUAUAACCAUGAGACCGAUAGUAAACAAGUACCGUGAGGGAAAGUUGAAAAGAACUCUGAAUAGAGAGUUAAAUAGUACGUGAAACUGCUUAGAGGUUAAGCCCGAUGAACCUGAAUAUCCAUUAUGGAAAAUUCAUCAUUAUGUAUAUGAUAUUUAUAAUAUUGUAGAAAUAGUGUGCAUUUUUUCCAUAUAAGGACAUUGUAAUCUAUUAACAUAAUAUAUAUUUAUCAAAAGAUCAUUUGCUUAUGUUUAUUCAAAUUAAUUUGCUUGCAGGUUAACACAGAAUAAAUGCUUAUGAUUUGAUAAAGUGUUGAUAGAUUAAUAAUAUAUAGUGCUUCAAUACUUUUGUAUUUUACAAUGGCAUAAUUGUCUUAUGAUUUUUGUGUUUAUUGUAUGCGCUUAUAUGAUUAACAAUGCGAUAGAUUCAGGAUACCUUCGGGACCCGUCUUGAAACACGGACCAAGGAGUCUAACAUAUGUGCAAGUCAUUGGGAUUAUUUAUAUAAACCCAAAGGCGUAAUUAACUUAACUGUUUAAAUGGGAUUAGUUUUUAGUCUAUAUGUCUAUUAAUUCAAUCCCGGGGCGUUCUAUACAGUUAUGUAUAAUAAUAUUUAUAUUAUUUAUACCUCUAACUAGAGCGUACCUUGAGCAUAUAUGCUGUGACCCGAAAGAUGGUGGGUUCCCCCGUCCUCUUCUCUCUUCGCGUGUACUUAGUAUGGGGUAAUAGUGUUCUGGAACGA